rnacentral:rRNA from 1 species
GACGAACGCUGGCGGCGUGCCUAAUACAUGCAAGUAGAACGCUGAAGAGAGGAGCUUGCUCUUCUUGGAUGAGUGGCGAACGGGUGAGUAACGCGUAGGUAACCUGCCUUGUAGCGGGGGAUAACUAUUGGAAACGAUAGCUAAUACCGCAUAACAAUGGAUGACACAUGUCAUUUAUUUGAAAGGGGCAAUUGCUCCACUACAAGAUGGACCUGCGUUGUAUUAGCUAGUAGGUGAGGUAAUGGCUCACCUAGGCGACGAUACAUAGCCGACCUGAGAGGGUGAUCGGCCACACUGGGACUGAGACACGGCCCAGACUCCUACGGGAGGCAGCAGUAGGGCAUCUUCGGCAAUGGGGGCAACCCUGACCGAGCAACGCCGCGUGAGUGAAGAAGGUUUUCGGAUCGUAAAGCUCUGUUGUAAGUCAAGAACGGGUGUGAGAGUGGAAAGUUCACACUGUGACGGUAGCUUACCAGAAAGGGACGGCUAACUACGUG